UUUGAUCCUGGCUCAGAGCGAACGUUAGCGGCAGGCUUAACACAUGCAAGUCGAGCGACAAAGGGGCUUCGGCCCUGAGUAGAGCGGCGGACGGGUGCGUAACACGUGGAUAAUCUGCCUCGUGGCGGGGGAUAACAGUCCGAAAGGACUGCUAAUACCGCAUGUCAGGUCGGAAACCCCGGUUUCUGACGAAAAAGAGGGCGCCCGCAAGGGGCUCUCACCACGAGAUGAGUCCGCGGCCCAUCAGCUAGUUGGCGGUGUAAUAGACCACCAAGGCUAAGACGGGUAGCUGGUCUGAGAGGAUGACCAGCCACACUGGGACUGAGACACGGCCCAGACUCCUACGGGAGGCAGCAGUGGGGAAUAUUGGACAAUGGGGCGAAAGCCUGAUCCAGCCAUGCCGCGUGAGUGAUGAAGGUCUUCGGAUCGUAAA
rnacentral:rRNA from 1 species